GACGACGCUGGCGGCGUGCCUAACACAUGCAAGUCGAACGGAGAUGUUGAUUUCGGGUUGACGUCUUAGUGGCGCACGGGUGAGUAACGCGUGAACAACCUGACCUUGAGAGGGGGAUAACAACGAGAAAUCGUUGCUAAUACCGCAUAAGACCACAACGCCGCAUGGCGAAGGGGUCAAAGGAGCAAUCCGCUCAGGGAGGGGUUCGCGUCCCAUUAGGUAGUAGGCGGGGUAACGGCCCACCUAGCCAGCGAUGGGUAGCCGAGCUGAGAGGCUGAUCGGCCACACUGGAACUGAGACACGGUCCAGACUCCUACGGGAGGCAGCAGUGGGGAAUAUUGGGCAAUGGGCGAAAGCCUGACCCAGCAACGCCGCGUGAGGGAAGAAGGUUUUCGGAUUGUAAACCUCUGUCGCAGAUGACGAAGGAAGUGACGGUAAUCUGUGAGGAAGCCCCGGCUAACUACGUG
rnacentral:rRNA from 1 species